AGGGAUCCCAGGGUAUCUUGGAUACAAUGAGAGCAAACCUCACAAGAUUUCUGGCGGACAUAAAGGGAUCCCAGGGUAUCUUGGAUACAAUAAGAGGAAACCUCACCAGAUUUCUGGUGGACAUAAAGGGAUCCCAGGGUAUCUUCGAUACAAUAAGAGGAAACCUCACCUGAUUUCCGGUGGACACAAAGGGAUCCCAGGGUAUCUUGGAUACAAUGAGAGGAAACCUCGCCUGAUUUCUGGUGGACAUAAAGGGUAUCUUGGAUACAUUGUGAAGAAACCUCAAAUGAAUUCCGGUGGACAUAAAG